AUACGUAUGUCGCAAGCGUUAUCCGGAAUUAUUGGGCGGAAAGCGAGUCUAGGCGGCUUGUUAAGUCAGAUGUGAAAAUGCGGGGCUCAACUCCGUAUUGCGUUUGAAACUGGCAGGCUAGAGUACUGGAGAGGUGGGCGGAACUACAAGUGUAGAGGUGAAAUUCGUAGAUAUUUGUAGGAAUGCCGAUAGUGAAGACAGCUCACUGGACAGAUACUGACGCUAAAGCUCGAAAGCGUGGGGAGCGAACAGGAUUAGAAACCCUAGUAGUCC
rnacentral:rRNA from 1 species